rnacentral:rRNA from 1 species
GACGAACGCUGGCGGCGUGCUUAACACAUGCAAGUCGGGCGGAAAGGCCCUUUCGGGGGUACUCGAGCGGCGAACGGGUGAGUAACACGUGAGUAAUCUGCCCCUGGCUUUGGGAUAGCCACCGGAAACGGUGAUUAAUACCGGAUACGACCACUUCUCGCAUGGGAUGGUGGUGGAAAGUUUUUCGGCCAGGGAUGUGCUCGCGGCCUAUCAGCUUGAUGGUGAGGUAAUGGAUCACCAUGGCUUCGACGGGUAGCCGGCCUGAGAGGGCGACCGGUCACACUGGGACUGAGACACGGCCCAGACUACUACGGGAGGCAGCAGUGGGGAAUAUUGGACAAUGGGCGGAAGCCUGAUCCAGCAACGCCGCGUGAGGGAUGACGGCCUUCGGGUUGUAAACCUCUUUCAGCAGGGACGAAGCGCAAGUGACGGUACCUGCAGAAGAAGCACCGGCCAACUACGUGCCAGCCGCCGCCGUAA